GGACAAGUCACAGUAAAUAUUAAUAGGCUUGCUGCUGUGUAGUAAACAAUUCAAAGAAAAGGGUAGAGGGCAUCUGUGUCUGGGACCAAAACACACGACUGAACAAUAAUGUUACCCCAGCAACUACAGCACUCCGCCUCUAGGGGGAAGCACAAACCAGCACUAAACAACUUUGAGAAUCUGAGGGCAUGUCUCUUAGAGAAUAAGAUGGAAAAAGACUGUCCAUGUUACUCAAUCCUGUGCUGCCCGCCUCUCCCACACACCCAACUGAUCUACUGACCUGGACCUCUCAACUUUACUACUGAACCGUGCUGCUGCUGCUGCUGCUGCUGCUGCAGGAAACGAGGCUGUCCAUGAAUAACGCGAGCUCCUGCAGCGUGAUCCCCACCAGAGACCCAAUCUGCAUGUCUGGAUUUCCAAACGCAACUUUCUCCCGAUGCUUCCAGUAGAUUUCACCAGCACCUAUAUGACUUUUUACUUCAAUAAACAUCAGUGGGAUGUCUCAGUUAAAACUCCUAAUGAUUACAAUUAAAAAGAAUGAAUAAACAUGCGCACAUGGGAAAUGCAGCAGGUGCUAAUGUAAAAAUAAUCAUGGCUUUGGCAUGAAAGUGGAGAAUAAUUAAAUGAAUAAAUGUAAAA